rnacentral:rRNA from 1 species
AUUGAACGCUGGCGGCAGGCUUAACCCAUGCAAGUCGAGCGGAGCGAGGGUGCUUGCACCUUAGCUUAGCGGCGGACGGGUGAGUAAUGCUUAGGACUCUGCCUAUUAGUGGGGGACAACAUUCCGACAGGAAUUCUAAUACCGUAUAAGCCCUACGGGGGAAAGCAGGGGGUCUUCGGACCUUGCGCUAAGAGAUGAGCGUACGUCGGAUUAGCGAGUUGGUGGGGUAGAGGCCUACCAAGUCGACGCUCUGUAGCGGGUCUGAGAGGGUGAUCCGCCACACUGGGACUGAGACACGGGCCAGACUCGUACGGGAGGCAGCAGUGGGGAAUAUUGGACAAUGGGCGGAAGCCUGAUCCAGCCAUGCCGCGUGUGUGAAGAAGGCCUUUUGGUUGUAAAGAACUUUAAGCGAGGAGGAGGCUCUUAAGGUUAAGACCCUUGAUGAGUGGACGUUACUCGAAGAAUAAGCACCGGCUAACUCUGUGCCAGCCGCCGCCGUAAAAC